GUCCACGCUGUAAACGAUGACAACUAGAUGUGGGCGGAUUUUAUCUGCACGUGUCGAAGCUAACGCGUUAAGUUGUCCGCCUGGGGAGUACGGUCGCAAGACUAAAACUCAAAGGAAUUGACGGGGGCCCGCACAAGCGGUGGAACAUGGGGUUUAAUUCGAUGCAACGCGAAGAACCUUACCUACCUUUGAAUCCACGGAAUCUUACAGAGAUGUAGGAGUGCCUUCGGGAACCGUGAGACAGGUGCUGCAUGGCUGUCGU
rnacentral:rRNA from 1 species